CAUAAAAAAAGAUCUGGAUUUUCUGCUGUCCAGUACAUGGAACUGUUGAGAAGUAUAGCUCAGACCAUCCAGCCUGGCCACUGGGUAGAGAAAACAGGUUUUGAUUUGGAGGCAUUUCUAGUACAGACACAUUACAUGAAUGACUGUGGGAUUUUUAUGCUGAUGGAUGAUAUGCCUCAGA